ACUCCUACGGGAGGCAGCAGUGAGGAAUAUUGGUCGAAAUCGGAGGGAACUCUGAACCAGCCAUCCCGCGUGUAGGAAGACGGCCUUAUGGGUUGUAAACUACUUUUAUACAGGAAGAAACGUACCCUCGUGAGGGUGCCUGACGGUACUGUAGGAAUAAGCACCGGCUAACUCCGUGCCAGCAGCCGCGGUAAUACGGAGGGUGCGAGCGUUAUCCGGAUUUAUUGGGUUUAAA
rnacentral:rRNA from 1 species